AUACGUAGGGGGCGAGCGUUGUCCGGAAUUAUUGGGCGUAAAGGGUACGUAGGCGGUUUUUUAAGUCUGGUGUGAAAUUGGUGGGCUCAACCCACCCAAGCAUUGGAAACUGGAAAACUUGAGUCAUGGAGAGGAAAGUGGAAUUCCUAGUGUAGCGGUGAAAUGCGUAGAUAUUAGGAGGAAUACCGGUAGCGAAGGCGACUUUCUGGACAUGUACUGACGCUGAGGUACGAAAGCGUGGGGAGCAAACAGGAUUAGAUACCCUGGUAUUCCACGCCGUAAACGAUGAGUGCUAGGUGUUGGGGGUCAAACCUCGGUGCCGCAGCUAACGCAUUAAGCACUCCGCCUGGGGAGUACGUACGCAAGUAUGAAACUCAAAUGAAUUGACGGGG
rnacentral:rRNA from 1 species